rnacentral:rRNA from 1 species
GAUGAACGCUGGCGGCGUGCUUAACACAUGCAAGUCGAACGGUGAAGGCGGAGCUUGCUCUGCUGGAUCAGUGGCGAACGGGUGAGUAACACGUGAGCAAUCUGCCCCUGACUCUGGGAUAAGCGCUGGAAACGGCGUCUAAUACUGGAUACGAGCUGCGAAGGCAUCUUCAGCAGCUGGGAAGAAUUUCGGUCAGGGAUGAGCUCGCGGCCUAUCAGCUUGUUGGUGAGGUAAUGGCUCACCAAGGCGUCGACGGGUAGCCGGCCUGAGGGGGUGACCGGCCACACUGGGACUGAGACACGGCCCAGACUCCUACGGGAGGCAGCAGUGGGGAAUAUUGCACAAUGGGCGAAAGCCUGAUGCAGCAACGCCGCGUGAGGGACGACGGCCUUCGGGUUGUAAACCUCUUUUAGCAGGGAAGAAGCGAAAGUGACGGUACCUGCAGAAAAAGCGCCGGCUAACUACGUG